rnacentral:rRNA from 1 species
UACGUAGGUGACAAGCGUUGUCCGGAUUUACUGGGCGUAAAGAGCGCGCAGGCGGUCGUUCAAGUCGAGUGUGAAAGCCCCCGGCUCAACUGGGGAGGGUCAUUCGAUACUGAUCGACUCGAAGGCAGGAGAGGGAAGUGGAAUUCCCGGUGUAGUGGUGAAAUGCGCAGAUAUCAGGAGGAACACCGGUGGCGAAGGCGGGUCUACUGGGGCCGAUACUGACGCUGAGGAGCGAAAGCGUGGGGAGCGAACAGG